ACUUCUAAGGCCAUAUCAUCUGUAACGCUGCUGGGGCUCCAGGUAUCAUGGCUAUGUCUUAGCAUAAAAAGGGUCAAGAGAAGCGUAAAGCAUGUGCCUGCUAGGGUAGAAGGGUCCUGCAACUCUAAUCUAAAACAGGCAAGCAAAGACUUAUGUGCAAGUUUGGAUCGACCGUUGCUUCCCAAACAACCGGAAACACUGGGUAUAAACAAUUUCAAAUCCUGAAAUCAUGUCGAAGUUGCAGUGCUGAAGAGUUGCCAGGUCAAUGUGAGGGUGGUACCCUGGGGGGUUAAAGCUCCUGGCUGCAGUCUAGUUGUGAUGCUGAACUUGAUCUUUGAGGCACUUGCUUGGUGAUAGAGGGUGAAUUCAAGAAGAGGAUGUUCUCCAGAAAAAAGCAACAUUCCUAAGUCUCAAGUCUCAGGUAAAGAAGCUUGGAAAGAAUGAUGUUAAGAAACAGAAGCACCAUGACUUGAACCCAGUCAACUGUGAAGAACAAAUAUCAGGGACAGAUAAUCACAGAAAGACUCCUCAAUUAGACUGAGAAAAGCUCCAGCCCCAUUUUACUGCACUUACAGAUCUGCUAUUGGACAAUAAUACCGUUCAGUGCGAAAAAGAAGUUCCAUUUGGCUCAGAUGCUGCUGUUUCUUUUUCCUCGUGUGUGUGUGUGUGUGUGUGUGUGUGUGUGUGUGUGUGUGUGUUUCCCCAUUUUAUAUUGUGAGUAGCCUUAUAGAGAAGUCUACACAGAAAAGAAAUUAAAGUCUUUAAACAAUUUUCAAGGAGGAAUGAUGACCUAUCAGCCAAGUGCAUGAGUGGGCUUUGAAAUAGAUUGAUCAGGACGUAUGUAGAGAUGGCUACAACCUUGACAAACAGCUUAUCUAUAACCUUGAGAGGGACCUGGAAGCAAAAUUCCCUAGAUAAAUUUCUAUGAGUUAUGUUUUUUUUAGAAAGUAAUACAUUUAUUUUCAUUUAUGUGUGUAUGUGUCUUUGUGAAUGUAUGUCACGUAUGUCCAGGUUCCCAUGGAAACUAGGAAAGGGCACUGGAUCCUACAAAGUUAGAUUUACAGUCAGAUGUGAGCCAUCCAGUAUAGGUACUGAGAAUGGAAGACUGCUCCUCUGUAAAGGUAGGAUGGGCUCUUAGAUGCAAAGAAGGAAGAAACAGACAAGGGAGGAGGUGAAGGAGAGAGAAAGGGUCUGGGGAGAGGCAUAUACAGAGAGUAUGAUUCACUAAAAAUGGAAGUCACCAUCUUUUAUUAAAUAAUUUUGAAGUAAUCUGUCAUUCGUUGCUUCUUAUACAGACGGACCAUAUCACUGUGUUUGUAUACACCAGAGAAUACAGUUAUUACAAGGAUUUUUUCUUCUCCGUAGCAUUAUUGAACAUUUAAUGGUUUUCCAUUAAUUGUUUUGCUAUCAAAUCCAAAAUUUAGGAAGCUCUUACACAAAAUUUCUGACACACACUUUUUAGUCAUUUGCCUGAUUUAUAUUUGUGAUCUUUCAGUAUAUCACCACUCCUUUGUGACAUUUUCAUAUGUCCUCUUAUCUGAACACAUAUAAGGAAGUGAGUGGUUAAGCAGCAUUCUUGUAGUUCUCUUUGUCAAAGGGAUUGUUCUGGUUAAAGGGAAGACAAAUAAUUGGGUCAAAUUCCAUUGCAGGUGUGUUAAUGGACAACCCCUGAAAUCAGAAGUCUGCCUGGUUAGGAGUAUUCAUGGUAAGGAAGUCUGGUGUAGGGGGCACAUGAGCUUUGAAACUUUCUGACUCUGUGAAAUAAAUAUUUCUUGCCAACUGCACAAGUAGGUACUCAAAUUUAAUAUUCAGUUUGAUUAAGUAUUUUUCCCCUCCAGAGGCACUUCAUAAGUGAGUGGGUUUGUAUGUCAGAUUGUACAAGAGAUAUGUUUAUUCCUCCAUUGGUCACAUCAACUGUCAUUGACAAUUAGAAUGGCUAAUUCCUUGGACUUAGACAGUGGUAGAAUUUGCUUAUUCUUGAACUUACUA
rnacentral:sRNA from 1 species